rnacentral:rRNA from 1 species
CGCCUGGGGAGUGCGGCCGCAAGGUUAAAACUCAAAUGAAUUGACGGGGGCCCGCACAAGCGGUGGAGCAUGUGGUUUAAUUCGACGCAACGCGAAGAACCUUACCUGGCCUUGACAUGCAGAGAACUUUCCAGAGAUGGAUUGGUGCCUUCGGGAACUCUGACACAGGUGCUGCAUGGCCGUCGUCAGCUCGUGUCGUGAGAUGUUGGGUUAAGUCCCGUAACGAGCGCAACCCCUAUCCCUAGUUGCUAGCAGUUCGGCUGAAAACUCUAGGGAGACUGCCGGUGACAAACCGGAGGAAGGUGGGGAUGACGUCAGGUCAUCAUGGCCCUUACGGCCAGGGCUACACACGUGCUACAAUGGUGCGCACAGAGGGCUGCAAACCCGCGAGGGGGAGCCAAUCUCACAAAACGCAUCGUAGUCCGGAUCGCAGUCUGCAACUCGACUGCGUGAAGUCGGAAUCGCUAGUAAUCGUGAAUCAGAAUGUCACGGUGAAUACGUUCCCGGGCCUUGUACACACCGCCCGUCACACCAUGGGAGUGGAUUGCACCAGAAGUGGUUAGUCUAACCUUCGGGAGGACGAUCACCACGGUGUGGUUCAUGACUGGGGUGAAGUCGUAACAAGGUAACCGUA